rnacentral:rRNA from 1 species
AGCGAACGCUAGCGGCGGGCCUAACACAUGCAAGUCGAGCGGAGGGGCAACCCUCAGCGGCGAACGGGUGAGUAACACGUAGGUAAUGUACCCUCUGGUGGGGAAUAACCGUGGGAAACCAUGGCUAAUACCGCAUAUGUCUUUCGAGAUGAAAGCAGCAAUGCGCCAGAGGAGCAGCCUGCGGCCGAUUAUUUAGUCCUAGUUGGUGAGGUAAUGGCUCACCAAGGGUACGAUCGGUAGCUGGUCUGAGAGGAUGAUCAGCCACACUGGAGCUGAGACACGGUCCAGACUCCUACGGGAGGCAGCAGUGGGGAAUAUUGCGCAAUGGGCGAAAGCCUGACGCAGCCACGCCGCGUGAGUGAUGAAGGCCUUC